rnacentral:lncRNA from 1 species
CCCUUGCAGGCAUUGAAUUCUUACUUAAAGCACUGAUAUGGGUAGCAACAGAGUUAGAAGAAGAAGAGUGGAAAUUAGAAAGAUUACUUCCACCAGUAACAAUUGAACGGAAAAUUAAAGAAGAAUAAAGCUUACCCGUAUCUGGAAAUGAAACAAAAUGGAAAAGCAGGAACUGAACUAGAAAUGAAAGCAGAAAUGGCGACGGCACUACCAGUACCAGAACAGGUUACUAUGUCCUCAGUGUUCAAAAAGUGAUACUCCUUAUGGGCCUAAUAACUGUGGUUGGUGAUUGCCACUAGAAGAUCACACCGAAGGAAACCAACUUUUUUUUU